UACAGAGGUCUCAAGCGUUGUUCGGAUUCAUUGGGCGUAAAGGGUGCGUAGGCGGCGCGGUAAGUCGGGUGUGAAAUCUCGGGGCUCAACUCCGAAACUGCAUUCGAUACUACCGUGCUUGAGGACUGGAGAGGAGACUGGAAUUUACGGUGUAGCGGUGAAAUGCGUAGAUAUCGUAAGGAAGACCAGUGGCGAAGGCGGGUCUCUGGACAGUUCCUGACGCUGAGGCACGAAGGCCAGGGGAGCAAACGGG
rnacentral:rRNA from 1 species